UUUUGAAAAGAAAAGAGAAAGAGUUUUCAAAUAAAAAAAAACCCCUAUCCUACCCGGGCCUCCCUCCUCUCUCUCUUUUCUGGCCUGCUCCCCCUCACCCCGGUGGCCCACCAUCUUUCUUCCAGCAGCCCACCAGUCAUGGCCCAUACCCCUUCGGAGAAAAGAUAUCCUGCUCGCUGUCGUCUUCCUGGUGCACGAGAGCAGCGUGAUGCUGUGGUCCUCAUCCUCCUCCAACCACUCCGCUUUUCCCCUCCUUUAAUCCCCACCGAGGCUGCACCCUAGAAACCCUAGCGCCAUCUUCUCCUCCUCCUCUGGCCGCCGCCACGCUCUCCUUUCUCCCCAUCAAUUUUCUUUUCUUCUCUGUGAGCUCACGAAGGAGCACUGCCACCACCGUCCUCACCAUGGGGUCGCUGCUGCAGACCGUCCCUGGUCGACCCGCGACCACCAGUAGAACCGCCUCGAUCUCCUCCAUCUCCUGCUGCAAGGAAUCGAACCGAAACCUCUCCAAUCGCCCGCAAAAUCGCCGAUUCCACCUCCGGCCCGCCGGCGAAUUCCUUUGUUUCCGACCGUUUCAGUCAGUCUCUGGCCUCCCCGACAGCUCCGAGACCUUCCUGGUGCUCGUCACCGGCAGCACUCCGUCCAGUUGUCGGUGCUUCCUCCGCCCGUUUCUGGUUCCCCACGUCUAGGCGCACCUCCGGCGACACCUCCCUCGACCUUGUUUGUUCGUGGACGUCGAAUCCAUCCCCGACCUGAGCUUCCCCGUCAUGGCGUAGGGAGAAAUACUAUCCAGCGGCCCAAGUUCGAAUCCCAUCUGCUCCUUUUUGGUUUUCAGCUGUAUGCGCGUCAGCCCACCGGACUGAGAUCCAUUUCAAAGAAUCCGGCGCAUCAAACCUAUCACGCUACAAUUUGUAGCCCAUCUGCAUUUGCUUCUUCCCGGAUAGGAUCGCGAAGUGGUGUGGUGAGAUACGA